UUCGGUGGUGGAUUAGUGGCGAACGGGUGAGUAACACGUGGGCAAUCUGCCCUGCACUCUGGGACAAGCCCUGGAAACGGGGUCUAAUACCGGAUAUGACACACGGCCGCAUGGUCUGUGUGUGGAAAGCUCCGGCGGUGCAGGAUGAGCCCGCGGCCUAUCAGCUUGUUGGUGGGGUGAUGGCCUACCAAGGCGACGACGGGUAGCCGGCCUGAGAGGGCGACCGGCCACACUGGGACUGAGACACGGCCCAGACUCCUACGGGAGGCAGCAGUGGGGAAUAUUGCACAAUGGGCGAAAGCCUGAUGCAGCGACGCCGCGUGAGGGAUGACGGCCUUCGGGUUGUAAACCUCUUUCAGCAGGGAAGAAGCGCAAGUGACGGUACCUGCAGAAGAAGCACCGGCUAACUACGUGCCAGCAGCCGCGGUAAUACGUAGGGUGCGAGCGUUGUCCGGAAUUAUUGGGCGUAAAGAGCUCGUAGGCGGCUUGUCGCGUCGGAUGUGAAAGCCCGGGGCUUAACCCCGGGUCUGCAUUCGAUACGGGCAGGCUAGAGUUCGGUAGGGGAGAUCGGAAUUCCUGGUGUAGCGGUGAAAUGCGCAGAUAUCAGGAGGAACACCGGUGGCGAAGGCGGAUCUCUGGGCCGAUACUGACGCUGAGGAGCGAAAGCGUGGGGAGCGAACAGGAUUAGAUACCCUGGUAGUCCACGCCGUAAACGUUGGGAACUAGGUGUGGGCGACAUUCCACGUCGUCCGUGCCGCAGCUAACGCA
rnacentral:rRNA from 1 species